UACGUAGGGGGCAAGCGUUGUCCGGAAUCAUUGGGCGUAAAGAGCGUGUAGGCGGUCCGGUAAGUCGGCUGUGAAAGUCCAGGGCUCAACUCUGGGAUGCCGGUGGAUACUGUCGGGCUAGAGUGCGGAAGAGGCGAGUGGAAUUCCUGGUGUAGCGGUGAAAUGCGCAGAUAUCAGGAGGAACACCUAUUGCGAAGGCAGCUCGCUGGGACGUAACUGACGCUGAGACGCGAAAGCGUGGGGAGCAAACAGG
rnacentral:rRNA from 1 species